GGAAGAAGUAGCCGAGCAGUGGAAGGAAUCCUGGCCUCAAAGUGAGAUAUCUAGAGCUGGCUGUCCAUUUUGCUAUUUACAGGCUUGCUCUGGUACCUGGCAGACGAACUAGCUCAGCCUUGCCACACUUCCCACCAGCUAUGCACGAGGGUGUCUGGAGGCAAAAGCCCGAGAGAGCAGAGGUGGAGACGGCUGAGCACUGUGCUAAGGUCUGGCGGGCACCAACCAAAAGUUCCAGAUGGUGACCAGGAGAGGGCGCCAGGGCCCCACCCCCCAGAGGAAAGGCGUGUAACAAACGGGGGAUAAAGGAACUUCAGAACAGGGGAGUACCUCAGAGAGCCCCCCGCCAACCCCUUCAUUUCACACCAGAGGAGCGGGGCUCCGAGCAGGGAAGUGACUCAUCAGGUCUGGAUUCAGGAGCCCUGAGAGUCCCUCUGCACUUUCAGAAUUGACCUACCUUCCAUUUUAGUCAUAUCGUCUGAUCCGUUAUGUCUCUUUCUCCUUUGUUCAUUCACUCUGAGGACUGAAUCUCCGCUUCAUUAUUUUUAUCACAACGACAUGAUAAAAAAUGAAUAAACCUGUGGCCUGGA